UACGUAGGGGCUAGCGUUAUCCGGAAUUACUGGGCGUAAAGGGUGCGUAGGUGGUUUCUUAAGUCAGAGGUGAAAGGCUACGGCUCAACCGUAGUAAGCCUUUGAAACUGGGAAACUUGAGUGCAGGAGAGGAGAGUGGAAUUCCUAGUGUAGCGGUGAAAUGCGUAGAUAUUAGGAGGAACACCAGUUGCGAAGGCGGCUCUCUGGACUGUAACUGACACUGAGGCACGAAAGCGUGGGGAGCAAACAGGAUUAGAUACCCGCGUAGUCCCUGAGCGGG
rnacentral:rRNA from 1 species